rnacentral:misc_RNA from 1 species
GCAAUGCAAUUUCUAUUUGUAGAUAAAAGAAAUUGCAUUGCAUGGCCCAUUGGGCAAGAACAUUACAAUAUUACCAUACAAAUUAUUAAACCCCUACCUAAUGAUAGAAGCCCAAAAAAGCUCAGCCCCAAAGCAACAAUCCUAAUUGAAGCUGAAAAACCUUGAGCAUAUGUCAACACAUAGCGGCCGCCGACCAGAACUAGGCAAGAGAAGGUCGCUUGAAGCCAAAUCAGGGAGAUCCUUCCUUCAAAGAAAACAAGAAAGUAGCCAAAGUAAGGAAAAUCAACCCAGCCAAGCAAGCACACCAUCUCUUCCAAACAAGAACCACAGGCUUAACACCGACGCCCUGAGAGAGGGAAAAGCAGGGCCAUGGCAGUCUCAUUUUCAUCAAGCCAU